UCCCUGGUGGCUCAGACGUUAAAGCAUCUGCCUCCAAUGCGGGAGACCCGGGUUCAAUCCCUGGGUCGGGAA
rfam:Ovis aries breed Texel chromosome 5, whole genome shotgun sequence.